UGAUAAAACCUUAACUUAACCCUCGGGCCCUCAGAGUCCCAAACGAGAGUGAGAGGAGAUCUGAGAAGAUGAGAGAUGAGAAAUACAGAGGUGGUUUGGAAGCCCUAACAAUGGCAUUGGCUCUAUGAUCGGAGCCUUCACUGGAGAUCAGAGACAUGAGCGUGAAGAAAGAGAGAGACGACGGGGCAUGAAGAAAAGCUCCUCCAAUGCAAUUCUUGUUUUCCGAGGUUUAACGCCUCGAUGGCCGCCAUUGAUCCACGAUCGGAUCCGUUCAAGAUCUCACCGUUGAAAUCGCGUAGUAAUUAACACCAAGACCAGAGAUCUGAUGGGGCUAGGUACACUCCCUGGCAGCUUACUCAAGAUGCGAUGUGGAUUGAUAGAGGCACUGACAGCGGGCCUUCCAUAUCUUUAAGGAUAUCUAAAACCAGAGCUACCAAGAUUUUGCCUCAAAUUUCCUUUUUUUUAUUUUUAUUUUUUGACUAAUUUGAUCUAAUUUCAAGCAAAAGAAGUGUGUAUAAUAUCAGUUCUUUUAUUUGAGUGCUGCGGAUUGUAGUAA